CGCCUAGAGUUUGAAUACCUGUGGCUGAUAUGUUUCCCGGUUAUAACUUACACUGGUUUAAUUUACUCCAUGUACUCUCAGACUGGUUUAAUCGUUCUGACUGGUCCUAGAUCUCAGACCGGUUUGGUCCGUCAGACACGUUCCAGAUAAGUGUGUGGACGUGGUUUCUGCAGUUAUUUUCCGGUUGUGUGCUGUGAGAGGAGGAGAUUCCGAUUCUGCCGACUCCACCUGGUCGUGAUGGUGAGCUUACACAGGUGUGCACAUCAUCAGAGGGAGUGACAGAGGAAUAAUUAUGAUGGCAGGCUGGGAGCAGAGAGCAGCAGGGUUGAGUCAAGAGGGGGGAAGGCAGGGGCUGACAUACCCCCGUUUUCCCUUAUUAAAAUCUGAUUGGCCACCUGAGGUGACGCCUAAAAAUCUUAAACUCUGAUUGGGCAUUUUCUCCUGUUAGAGAUGGGGCUCAUGGUUUAACCAGCUAUCUGAGCUCAGCUGUCUAAACAGGCUGUUUAUAGUUUUUAAAUGAAAAACCUUAGCUUUUGUCUGGUUUGUAAAUAAGAAUGCAAAAAAAAAAAAAUUUUUUUUUCUUUUUACAGCAAAAAUUAAAGGAUGAAAAAAAAAAGCCACAACGGAAGUGAGCUGCUGAGGACUAAUAAUGAUGAUGCACCAGUGUUUUACGAUCGAGGCACAGAAGACAGCAGCGAGAAGAUGAGCAAAGAAGUAAGUGGACACAUGGGCUUUUCAAUGUGUCAUUUGGUUAGGACCAUGGACUGUAUAUACUAUGGACAACUUGAUUCUGCCUCCCACCUGUAUACAGAUUUGAAG